GAGGUUCCUGCCUCGGCACUCCUUGACUAUAUCAUAGAGGCCUGGCUCAUAUAUGGGGAGUGUAUCACUGUUCCAGGCUGUGAUACGAGGCACAGAAAUAUCAACAACAACCACUUCAAUAGAAGGGCAUUUGAGUGCUAUGACAGCCAUGGUGGGCCCCCCAACAUAUCCAGCUCCUAUACAGCAAAUCUUAACCAUUUUCCUUUGUUCCAAACUGCAAAAUCAAUAAGAAAUGGAGUGAAGAGAAAGAGUACCCGUAGUUUCACGAGAGAAGAGGGAAAAUGGAUCUGGAAAAAGAUGAAGAGAAUUAUGAGAGCUAAGAAGGCGGGGACAUUCUUAAAUAGUCUGUUUUGGUGUCAAAUCUUAGAUCUAACCCAACGCUGCAGCAGAGCUUGACGAAUGACGAGUCUUCUUGAAGCCAAAAUCAUAAUUUU
rnacentral:misc_RNA from 1 species